UUGAUGAACAUUUAUAUCAAAGUUUGUUACCUCUGUAUAGACAUGAUUAGCAUGGCCCCUGCGCAAGGAUGAUACAGAAAAAUCGAGAAAUGGUAUAGACUUAA
rfam:Capsicum annuum cultivar Zunla-1 unplaced genomic scaffold scaffold13811, whole genome shotgun sequence